CGUGUAGGCGGCACGUUAAGUCAGAUGUGAAAGCCCUCGGCUUAACCGAGGAAGUGCAUUUGAAACUGGCGAGCUAGAGUACGGGAGAGGGUGGUAGAAUUCCAGGUGUAGAGGUGAAAUUCGUAGAUAUCUGGAGGAAUACCGGUGGCGAAGGCGGCUACCUGGACCGAUACUGACGCUGAGACGCGAAAGCGUGGGGAGCAAACAGGAUUAGAUACCCUGGUAGUCC
rnacentral:rRNA from 1 species